GCUUUCCGGGAUCCACGAGGAUGAGAACCUCCGGGGGCAAGAGGUUCGACUCGAGCGUAGCGAGAGAACGUUGCGUCAGCAACGGCCCGUAGGGCGAGCCACGUAGUGGCGAGUAAUCCUCUAUCACCGACCA
rnacentral:sRNA from 1 species